ACCAUGGUUGUUGAACUGUUUGCGGUACGUUACUAAAAGACCUUUGACCUACGUAACGUUAUCUACGGGGGUUUUCCAGCACAGUCACCUAGACAUUUCGUGUUUGCAAAGUGACACCGGGUUCUAUAGCUUUAAUACAACAAUAGGGGUUUUGUUGAGUAUAUUUGUGCUUGUCCUUUCUUACCCUUUGCAUUGAAACCAAAGCUCCCCUGUCAAACGAGGGUGGUACAAGCAGGUACGGCCAGAAGCGGGGACUUACGCCUUUUCUCUUGACAGUGUUUUCGGGCUUAACGGUCAGUUUAACCCCCGAUUCGAAGAUUAGAGACAAUUGUUGGUGAUAGCACAGACCUUACAAGACUGAACAGUAUUCAGGUUAACCAAUAUAACGUCCUUGGGUUAACCUAGCCGAAGUCUGAAACUGCCACGUCAUCUACGGACAGGGGAAUUCCAUGACAGAAACAACAAAAGUUGGAUUUCCUCCUCUGAAAACUGGCCUCAGAACAUCCGCUGAAGGCUUGCCUCAGAAAUAUUAAUGACUAAGAAGAAAACUGUGACAGCAGAUGCAAAGAACACUUACAGAAGGGCUGCAGGGCCCUGAACACAGGAGACUUGGACAUGGCAAAACAGCUGCAGGACGGCUGCAAAACCCCAAAUACAAGGGACGUAAAUACAACAAAAAGGGUGAAGGAAGGCUGCAGGGCCCUGCAGACAGGGGACCUAGACACAAAAGAACAGCUGCAGGAGGGCUGCGGGGCUCUGCAGU